UCUCUCAUCAGUGUCGACUUGAUCAAAAUUGAACAUUUUAGUAAAAAGAGGAUGUAUCGUAUGAUCACACUGGAACACAAUGUUCUUUCAUACUUUGAGAAAUGGGCCUCACAUUCUUAAGCAACUCUCCAAAUGACUUGCACUAACUGAUUUGAUUGUCAAUAAACCAAUUUGUUCUAUUUGUCAAUCAGCGAUGCUAUCACAGCAUUGCAGGAUGGGUCCUGGGAGUCUGUGUGUAUACGAAGUAGGAGUACGAACUCAGAACUCAAACUGUGUGAGGGAGUGCUGCACAUGGAUGUUCAAGAUCACUCCAAGUCUCCAUCGGCGUGCCUGGCAUUGGCGGUGGUGAAGGUGAAUGGGGCCUAAUGGCGAAGAUGGUACCUGAGGAUCGGCAGCUUCAAUGUUGGUUGGGUCUGGCGAGGCAGCGGUGGCGGUGGUGGUUCUGAGCUGGGUCAGAACUCGUACACAGCUGGACUCCUCUUGAAGCUAUCGCUUUUCGUUUUCUCUCUCUUAAACUAUCAAAAUGGUGCUGGAUUAUGGUGACAAAUGAAAGAUUUUCAUGUGUAUUUUACAAUGAAAUACAGUAAUAAUAAACCUUUCACUCAUGAA